UGGGCAACCUGCCCCUCUCUCUGGGAUAACCCCGGGAAACUGGAGCUAAUACCGGAUACUCCGGCUGGAUCGCAUGGUCCGGCCGGGAAAGGUCCGCCGGAGAGGGAUGGGCCCGCGGCCUAUCAGCUUGUUGGUGGGGUCAUGGCUCACCCAGGCGACGACGGGUAGCUGGUCUGAGAGGACGACCAGCCACACUGGAACUGAGAUACGGUCAGACUCCUACGGGAGGCA
rnacentral:rRNA from 1 species